CCCUUAGAUGUUCUGGGCCGCACGCGCGCUACACUGACGAAUGCAACGAGCUUAUAACCUUGGCCGAAAGGUCUGGGUAAUCUCCAAAUUUCGUCGUGAUGGGGAUAGAUUAUUGCAAUUAUUAAUCUUCAACGAGGAAUGCCUAGUAAGCGCAAGUCAUCAGCUUGCGUUGAUUACGUCCCUGCCCUUUGUACACACCGCCCGUCGCUCCUACCGAUUGAAUGGUCCGGUGAAGCGCUCGGACCGCGGCCUCUUGACGGUUUUCCGUCGAUUGGCUGUGGGAAGUUCGUUAAACCUUAUCAUUUAGAGGAAGGAGAAGUCGUACCA
rnacentral:rRNA from 1 species